CGGGAUGUUUCGCUCCCAUCAACAUCCAUACGCUUGCUCUGUGAACCAAUGACCUGAUGAGGUAGUAUUAGCACCACCAUCAUUAUGCUGAGGAUGAGAUUUAUGGCACAGUGGUUCAGUAGCUUGCCCAAGGCCAUGCGGCUGGUAGGUUCUGGAGGAGGGCUCAGGGCACCCCCUGAGCUACCCCUGCUGGCCAUUGCACCACCCCAUAAAGCUGCUGGCAGUCACUUCUCUGAGGGGUUAGCAUGUAAGAAAUGUCCUCCUGAAUGCUGGCCAGACAAAUGGAAAUCUGCCAGGGUUGGGUACCCCCAUGACAGCAGCCAGCCUGCCCUCUUAGUCCCUGACAGCUGCAGUGACAGCAUCUGUGAUUGCAAAGCGUGACAAUUUAUAUCUCUCAUUUCAUCACACCAUCUAUCAGCAGACAGUCAGGCUUUAAAAAUCAAUCCCACACUGACUCAGUCCCCAGCAGAGAUGGCCUCUGACAACAGUAUCCACACUGCAGGCUGGACAAGGGCCCUAUUAAUUUUGAGACUCAGCCAAAUUUCCUUCUGACCCUAAGCUGGUGAAUCCCUGCUCCUUUGCUUUGGUUGGGGUUGGUGUGAGCUAAGGCUGUGAUCCCAUUUGCUCCUAUGGCCUCCAGGUGGCCUGGGCCUCCAUGAAUGGGCCACAUGGUCAUACUGAAUGCUUGAUUACACUCAGACCUAGCAGUCGUCUGGGCGCAGCUGGUUUAUGGAUCACUUUGUCACAAUGUUCCAUCCUUCCAGGUCCCCAUCCCCGCGGUGGGAAAACAUUGCUUUAGGCAGUGCUAGAGGACUUCAGCAGGCAUUGGCAGCUUCUGGAUUCAGGAUUAGAACAAAGAAGGAGGAGUCACAGCAAAGAUAGGAACAGAAGGCAGAGAGAACAGACAGAUGGGGGUGUUUGAGAAGGAGGGCCUUUGAGACCUCAGGGAGUGGGAGACACUGGCUCGAGAAUAAUAAUAAUGGCAAUUUCUCUCAUCUGUGUUUUCAGGGCAUGGACUGGAACUCCCAAUACCCCUGACAUGGGCUGAGUCAACGUGGUCAUGAACAUGUGACAGGAGGCAGCAGAAGUUGCAGAGAAGAGUGAGGCACGUUUGAAAAAGGCUGAAAAAUGUUUCUGUCCAGGCAAGGGUGUGUGCUGAAUGACUCAAGGAUUUUUUGGGUAUGUCAUUUCCCAUUUCUCACCCUCAAAUAGGACUCCGCUUCCCAUCUAAGCAUUUGUAUAAAUAUUGAUUAUUGGUUAGUGUGUAUCAGAGAGCUAUUGAGUAAAAAUUAUAUCAGAAAAAUUAAGAAUCUCUAGAGAUGGCAAGGUGUGAAACAAAAAACGCCAGGAAGGUAAAUGCUCAAAGUUCACCACACACCACAGUGAGAAGUGUUGGGG
rnacentral:lncRNA from 10 species